ensembl:snoRNA LOC120094912 small nucleolar RNA SNORA17
CCUGCCCCUAGAGGCAUUGCAGGUGUGACUGGUGUGUCACGUAUGCAUCAGUAGGUGGCAGAGAAGAGGCUAUGUCUAUGCCUAGUGUUCUGACCCAUGAACAUUUGAAUGAUUAGUAUCCUAGUAGU